rnacentral:rRNA from 1 species
UACGUAGGGUGCGAGCGUUGUCCGGAAUUAUUGGGCGUAAAGAGCUUGUAGGUGGUUUGUCGCGUCUGCUGUGAAAAUCCGAGGCUCAACCUCGGACUUGCAGUGGGUACGGGCAGACUAGAGUGUGGUAGGGGAGACUGGAAUUCCUGGUGUAGCGGUGAAAUGCGUAGAUAUCAAGAGGAACACCUGCGGCGAAGGCGGGUUGCUGGGCUGACACU